rnacentral:rRNA from 1 species
CCUACUGGAGGCAUCAUUGGGGCAUCUUGGGCAAUGGAGGCAACUCUGACCCAGCAACGCCGCGUGAAUUCUUCCUUUCUUCUUCUUUUCCCUUUCUUUUCUUUUUUCUUCCCACAAUGACGGUACCCCAAUAGCAAGCCACGGCUAACUACGUGCCAGCAGCCGCGGUAAUACGUAGGUGGCAAGCGUUAUCCGGAAUGACUGGGCGUAAAGGGUGCGUAGGUGGUUUAGUAAGUUGGCGGUGUAAUUCCGGGGCUCAACCUCGGCGCUACCGCCAAAACUAUUAGACUAGAGUGCAGGAGGGGUAAGUGGAAUUCCUAGUGUAGCGGUGGAAUGCGUAGAUAUUAGGAGGAACAUCAGGGGCGAAGGCGACUUACUGGACUGUAACUGACACUGAGGCACGAAAGCGUGGGGAGCAAACAGGAUUAGAGAAAAUAGUAGUC